GGAAGAUGUCUGGUCGGAUUUCGCGGGAAGUGACACAUUUACGUCACUCGUCUUUGCUUGGUUACGUAUGUCACGUGUGUAAACAAAGAGAAGAAGGUCCGAGUAUUACAACGCAGGUUUAUAACCAAUGAGAAGAAUUGUUAUCAGUAAAUUGUUUAAAAGUUUACACGCAAAGGGGAAGGUGAGGUGGUUUCAGAGAUGGCUUAAAGGAUUUAAAACCGACCCAGAGAUGGACUCUUUCUUGCUCGACAGCAAACAAAAACAUGCAAGACUGCAAACUUUUCAGUACUUCUGUGCACUGAUAAUCCGGUUUCCACCCAGUCCCAGGAGGACAUCCCACUGCAGCAGGUGGAAGAGACUGAGGCCAUAUGGAUGAACUCUUCAGAGACUGUAGUUACUCCAGAAAAAAAGAGAGAAAGUCAUGCAGUUGUGGAACAACAUGUAGGGUGAGUAAAUAAUGACAGAGUUUUCAUUUUUUG